UAAGCGUUCCUGAGAGGGAACGUUGAACGGACAGAAGUCAGCAGAGGUCAUAGUACCUGCAAGGGGACGCCCAAGCAGGGAAGGAC
rfam:Alicyclobacillus ferrooxydans strain TC-34 contig_93, whole genome shotgun sequence.